UGCUGCGGGCCACCGCUGAUGAGGAC
rnacentral:piRNA from 1 species